rnacentral:rRNA from 1 species
CCUACGGGAGGCUGCAGUGGGGAAUAUUGCACAAUGGGCGCAAGCCUGAUGCAGCCAUGCCGCGUGUGUGAAGGAGGCCUUCGGGUUGUAAAGCACUUUCAGCGGGGAGGAAGGCGGUGAGGUUAAUAACCUCAUCGAUUGACGUUACCCGCAGAAGAAGCACCGGCUAACUCCGUGCCAGCAGCCGCGGUAAUACGGAGGGUGCAAGCGUUAAUCGGAAUUACUGGGCGUAAAGCGCACGCAGGCGGUCUGUCAAGUCGGAUGUGAAAUCCCCGGGCUCAACCUGGGAACUGCAUUCGAAACUGGCAGGCUAGAGUCUUGUAGAGGGGGGUAGAAUUCCAGGUGUAGCGGUGAAAUGCGUAGAGAUCUGGAGGAAUACCGGUGGCGAAGGCGGCCCCCUGGACAAAGACUGACGCUCAGGUGCGAAAGCGUGGGGAGCAAACAGGAUUAGAUACCCGGGUAGUC